rnacentral:lncRNA from 1 species
AGGGGCCAAAGCCCGGUAAGAAUUAACACAAAAAUCAGAGGCCUAUGCUUGAAGUCUGAAGAAAUCUGUCAGUCAAAAUAUUUCACUAGGGCUUGAAUGCUGUUCAAAAUAUGUGGUGAUAUUUGUGGUCUAUCUAUUAUAUAUCUUAAAAUUUUAUUUUAUUUUUAAUUUUUGGCCUUUUUUGAGUAUGAUCGUUUGCCUUGAAAAACAGCUACUGUUUCUUGGAGAAUAGAAGAUGGAGAAAUACAUGGUUCAUUUACUAGAGACUAUCAGUGUACUGUUGGCCUAAAAAAACCAACUAUUCAGAUAGUUUUUUCUUCAGAAAGGAAAUUAUGAAUAUCAGUAGAACUAAUGGAUUUUAUAACGAAUAUAAAAGAAGACACACUAUUCAAUUAUGAAAAAUUUCCAGAGUAACUUUUUACAAGUGUAGGUAUCAUAGAUGAGACAUUCCAAUAUCAUGAAAUCUUUAAUCCCAAAAUCUUUACAAAUCGAUGGAGCAACUUCAACAAAUUGUAAGACCAACUUAUAUACCAGAGCAAACUCUUUUUUGUGAUAUUUUGUGAACUGUUCCUAGAAAGAUGUCUCAGUCUGGGGUGAAAAUGAUGAGGAAUAUCUUUUCUAUUUAGAUCAGAAGUAGCUGCAAAACAUUUCCAUACAAAAGAUUUGAACUUACACAGAAAGCUUUUCAGUUGAUUAAAGAUGGUUAUGAAUUUCACCAAACUAUUGUGGAGAAUUUGAUAAUUCAGGUGCCAUGAUAAAUGUGAAAGAAAUGCUUGUUUCUAUUCUUUCUGUAUUUUUAAAGUUUCAGGAAAAAUAAAGCCAAAUUUCAAUAGUUUCAUAA